UAUCCUGAUCGUAUCGUUAAAUACUGAUCGACGACUGUAACCACCAUUAUACAGAAAUCUUUUAUAGCUAUGGCGUAAACGUGGGUGAUAGCCACUGGGCAUAUUUUCGACUUCGCCAGAACUCGUACAUAGUUUCGAGCAACAUACGAUCGUUUCGUUUCCUCAUACCAUAAAUACAAACCAUAACAUAUCUAACAAACAACGUAGUAUAAUGUACAUAACACCAUUAAAAUAAACUUCGUACUUGUUUAUUCACGCGCGCGCGUUAACUAAAGAACAUUAGUUUGUGCGCAGUUUUGUGCGCAGUUUUAUUUCGUGCGCAUGCUCAUGCGCACGCGCUUUUAAUAUAUUUUCUUUUACAUGAAUACAUCGAAUCGGAAGAUGGAAGUAUUCUUUGCAAAAUUUAUGCUGAACCAUAUUUUUUACCAACGAUGAGAUAAACACAUGGAUUUAUACAUAUAUAUAUUUUUCGCAUGUGCGUACACGUGACAAUUUGCUUACUUGAAAAUACUCCUAUACUUUGAAUGAUUAAAGCCUAGUUUUUAUGGUUUACGAGCCUCAUAACCUGUUUUUUAUGCGAUAUUAGCAUAACAAUGAAGUAAUAAACUAAAUCAACCUGUGAUAAUUGCUAUAUAGAGCAAGUAAUAUUAUGGAAGAUUCAUAAAUAUGCACAACAGUGGUUCCCAUGAUUAUUCUUAAUAUACGAUGAUAAUGAUUAUGGCAGUGAAACGCUAAAGUUCAUUGUACAAUGUUACAACAAAAAAAAAAAGAAAGAACGAGCAAGAGCAAAAAAAAAAUUAUCUUCAGCUUGAGAAAUAUAUAGAUCGAAACUGUACAAAAUAAUAAUACCAUCGAUCAAGCGGUACGGAACGAUCACGCGAAAGUAAGAAAUAUCUUCCACCGUACAAUUUUCCCCAUCGACGAAUGAUGCAGGUUCGUUGAUCUGAAUUCGAAUGAAGAUGUGAUUCAUGUAUUUCAAUCAUUCGAUGCAACAUUCUCUAUAUAGAUAAAACCUGUUCGUUUGAAAAUAUAUGCGUUUCUAGAGACUUUGAGGAAUGCAAGUCUCAUGUUAAAAACACGAAGGAUCGAAUACAUUCAAUGUAUUUUUAUUCAAACGAUAUUCUUGUCAUUUGAUAAAGAUAGACAAGUAAGUAUCAUUAAAGCGUGAUUGAUGUCUCAUAGUAAUACAAUCUUGAAUUAUUAUUAGUAUGAGGAAGCGGGUAUUUGAAAAAAAAAAAAAAAAGUCUGAAGCAAUUGUUGUGGAUAAGUAAAUACAAUUUAUUAUUGGCGUCAAUCACUUUUUAUGCUUGAACUUAUGUUAAAAAUAUUGAUUAAUUAUUUUAACCAAAUAAUUCACUUUAUUAUAUUUUUUAAUCAGAUGUUUUUAUCAACUUAUUCGAUUUUCUAUGAUCAUCUUAUACAUUAUCUUUGUUAUUCUUAUUUAAACGAUUCUCAUUUUAAAUUUCAUUAAAAUAAUCAAUCAAUCAAUUCUUCGAAUGUGACCGAGAACAUGAUUUACAUAGAUACAUUCAAAGCCACAUUCUUGCGCUUGAAAUUCCACAAAGUAAUCAUACCUAGAUUCUCCCGUUCUCCGAAUCCUCCGCCUCCGGCUUCACACAGGUGCACCUGCAACAACACAAAUAAGCCUUUAGAUUAUAGUAUUCUACCUGUGCGAGCGGCUUGAUUCCGCACCAAAUACCAGGAAUCGAACGUACGCGAAUACUUGUAUAUGUGUGGAUGCAAAAGAAUGAUAUAAAAAAUUUGAAAAGAACAAUAAUCGUACUCGCGUUCAAAUAAGAUGGAUGCGGUAAGAUUGUGCAAAAGCACGUUGCUUUCCGCAACAUUGAAUUUUGCCGCAAUAUCCCCAACAAAGAGGACGAUAAUUUUUCGCGCUACGAUCUUCUGAUUGCGAGUACGAAAAAAUAUCCUGCAAAAUAUCAUUAGAAAUAAUAGGAGAAACGGCGUACACAAAUUCUCUUGAUAAGUAUAUAAAGUUUCGAUAUGCGAAAAGAAAAAUGAAUUGGCGAACGAUAUCGACAUCGAAGAAGAACGCACUGUGUAUUUGCGUGUAUGUACGUGCAUGUGUUCGCGCUUGUUCUCUCCCACUAUCCACAAUCUGAAAGGAGCGCGAACUCUCAAUAAAACCGCUCUACUUCGACAAAUCGCCUUAAUUUCAUCGUCAAUAAGCCCGAGAAACCCGCGCCAAGUAUGCCGAUCACCGUCUCUAUACACCGUGACUCUGUUACGCGACCGCUGUGCAUGCGCUUGUAUGCGCGUAUAUACGACUUACAUAGACGGUGGGGGCACACACGCGCAGUAUGGCAUGCCGUUGGUGCAAGCCGCGUGAGCGAGUUUAACGAAUCUGAAGCAGAGAGAGAAAGAGAAAGAGAGAAAGAGAGGGAGGGAGAGAGAGAGAGAAGAGAGUGAGGCGGGCGUCUCGGUCGAGUAUUCCAGGUUAAUUUUACCGAGCCCUAAGGAGCGCAUGCGAAGGACCGGCGAAGGAUAACGCUAGCGGGGCUCAUCGGUUGGACGCUGCUCGAAGCGAACGAAGGACGCCCGCAUUCCACGCCGCAACCUGGUAUAAUACGAGGAAUUGGCCGAACAGAGCGAGAGAGGGACAGAGAGGCUAAGAACGGGCUUUUUCUGCAUCGGAGAAAGAAGACGAACGGAUCACAAGCGAGACAAAGAGGAAGAGGAAGACGAAGAAAGAUGAAAGAGGGAGACGUAUACAUAGAAAAAGAGAAGGAAUCACAGUGAAGCAACCAAGGAGAGGCGAGGAGUUGUGUCUGCAUCAUUCCUCUCUCUCUCUCUCUCUCUUUUCUCUUUCAUCCGCUUUCCCCUCGUAAUCAUUCCUCCACCAUUCCAUUCCUUUAUCUCCUUAUUCGUUUCAUUCUAGUCUCUCUAUACACGAUAUACUUCUACAUACUCUUCUUCAUGUUCGUUAGUCUCUUCUUUAUCUCUUACUCUUUAUUACUCGUCUUUUUAUCCAUCCCUAUCUCUUCCUCUCGUUCCUUCUCCACUUUCAUCUUUUUCUUCGUCCCAUCCUCGUCUUCCCUUCUUUCUUUGUCCUCGUUCCUCUUUCCUCGCCCCACUGUUUGCGUAUGCGUGCGUGUACGUGUAUGGACUCGGUUGAACCGCGUGCCUCCAGCGGAAGUAAAUCACCACAGCGUGCACACGCUGGUAUCUCUCCACAAGAGCGUUCUAUACAGUUUCAGCCGGCGUUCCUUCCUUCGUACGAGAGCGCGUAACUGGGAUUCCUCGUUUUGCGAGCAGGCAGCUGCAACUGGGUAGCCGCACUGGAGUAGGUUAUCGCCGUCGUGAGUCGUGGCUUUCACCACUUUGCCGGCCACGUCGCGUUCUCUCGCGCGCCGACAGUCACGAUGACAAGAGAAACGGAAGGUUACACGGGGCCCUCCACCGUUUCUUUUCCCCCUGAUUGCCCGUGAUUUCGGAUUAGAUAAGCGGUGUGGAAUUUCGAUGCCUGCCGGGGCUUUAACACAACUCGCUUGCCUCGACCCGUAGAAUUGUUAUACCAAUAUUUUCAACUCUCGUAAAGCUUUCGUAAAAUUUACAUAAAAAUAUUUUACAAAAUAUUUUUCUUCCAUAUAUGAAUAAUUAUGGAUAAUUAUUUCGUAGAUCUAUCUGACGCUUGAAUUAAAUCUGCGGAAAAAUAUAGAUUGUUGUUAAAAAUACGAUUGAGAAUGCGAAAGAAUUUAAUGAUGUGAAACAGAUAUUUAUAAAUAAAUUGGCCUCGAUUUUCUUUUUGCUUUA